GAGUAAUGCGCCCCAAUGGAAUGGGUCGCUAUCCGAGCGAUUUAAUCAGUUAUCAUGGCCAUCCCUGUAUCUCAACCUUACUUUUAUUUACAUCUUAUUUUGGUCCCGCCGAUCCGCACUGGGUGGCCUUAUCAAUCAAAUUAGCAACCUUACAAAUGACUGGACAUGGUUUAGUCGACGAACUAACUCAGCGGACAUUUUCAUUGAUAAGCACCUUUCGAGAUACACAGUCAUCAUGACAACCUACGUUAUGACCCAUUGUGUCACAGAAAACCUAAUGUUUGAUAAGUUAAACCUUUCUCUCGCCGAAAAAGGUCAUAGCAUCUUUGAGACGUAUUACAACUCCAGCCUCCUGGCUAGAUGGCACAAUUACAUAUCUUAUCAUCCCCUCUUCGCCGUGGGAUUUUAUAUUUGGGGCAAAAUUACAAUCUAUGCUUGGAGUUUUGUCGACAUUCUCAUCAUUACAAUUUGUCGUGCGGUGUCUCAUCAGUUCAAAAUAUUGGACCGUACUAUCGCCAACCAGUGGGGGGUUCAUUUCUAUGACAAAACUGAUUCCUGGAUUACCACAGUGCAGAAUUAUACCCCACAAAAUAAUGCAGACACGUUUCUCCUCCAGUUAAAACAGCAGUAUCUCAAAAUCCGUGAA